AAACAUCCGAGUCCUGUCCCGCGCUGCUCUGCUGCCUCUACCGGCCGUACAUGGGUACUGCACUCCCAGUACAAUAUCACGUGACCCUGUGCUGUACUGAUGUACUAUAGUGAUUAUUAUAUCUGAUAUCCAGGGCUGGGCAUACUGUGCCCCCCACUUACAGCAAGCAGAGGAUGGCAACUAGACAGCAAUGGGGUCUCCAAGGCAGCGGCGGAAAACUUUUCUGGCUGUGCCUCAAAACCCUUUCUGCUUCUAAAAGGAAAGGAUGCUGGAGAGGACGAAGACCAAUACUACUUCAGGAAAAUAAAGACUCGGGAGUUUUUAUUUUAAGUAUAGGGUCAGGUGCCGUAUUUU